GACAGAGGGUGCUAGCGUUGUUCGGAAUUACUGGGCGUAAAGGGCGCGUAGGCGGCUUGUUUAGUCGGGUGUGAAAUCCCGGGGCUCAACCCCGGAACUGCAUUCGAUACUGGCAGGCUAGAGACCGGAAGAGGUGGGUGGAAUACCCAGUGUAGAGGUGAAAUUCGUAGAUAUUGGGUGGAACACCGGUGGCGAAGGCGGCUCACUGGUCCGGUUCUGACGCUGAGGCGCGAAGGCGUGGGGAGCAAACAGG
rnacentral:rRNA from 1 species